rnacentral:rRNA from 1 species
UACGAAGGGGGCUAGCGUUGCUCGGAAUUACUGGGCGUAAAGGGCGCGUAGGCGGCCUGCUAAGUCGGACGUGAAAUCCCUCGGCUCAACCGGGGAACUGCGUCCGAUACUGGUGGGCUCGAAUCCGGGAGAGGGAUGUGGAAUUCCAGGUGUAGCGGUGAAAUGCGUAGAUAUCUGGAGGAACACCGGUGGCGAAGGCGGCAUCCUGGACCGGUAUUGACGCUGAUGCGCGAAGCCAGG